GACGAACGCUGGCGGCGUGCCUAACACAUGCAAGUCGAACGGGGCACCUUCGGGUGCUUAGUGGCGAACGGGUGAGUAACGCGUGAGAAACCUGCCUCUCAGUGGGGGACAACAGUUGGAAACGACUGCUAAUACCGCAUAAAGUCAUGAGACCGCAUGAUCUUAUGACCAAAGGAGCGAUCCGCUGAAAGAUGGACUCGCGUCCGAUUAGCUAGUUGGAGAGGUAACGGCUCCCAAGGCGACGAUCGGUAGCCGGACUGAGAGGUUGAUCGGCCACAUUGGGACUGAGAUACGGCCCAGACUCCUACGGGAGCAGCAGUGGGGAAUAUUGCACAAUGGGGGAAACCCUGAUGCAGCGACGCCGCGU
rnacentral:rRNA from 1 species